rnacentral:rRNA from 1 species
AAAGUGGAGGCUAUUGUAACUGAAGAGAACUGGAAAGUUCCACCGUAGAAGGUAAUAGUCCUGUAAGUGAAACGAGAAGACCACGAGUUAUGAUCCAGAGUACCACGAGACACGUGAAACCUUGUGGGAAGCAGGGAGGACCACCUCCCAAGGCUAAAUACUACCUGAUGACCGAUAGUGAAGCAGUACCGUGAGGGAAAGGUGAAAAGAACCCCGGGAGGGGAGUGAAAUAGAACCUGAAACCGUGUGCCUACAACCGCUCAGAGCCCCUUAUGAGGGUGAUGAGGUGCUUUUUGUAGAACGAGCCAACGAGUUACGGUAUGUAGCAAGGUUAAGUACUUAAGGUACGGAGCCGAAGGGAAACCGAGUCUGAAUAGGGCGACUAGUUGCAUGCCGUAGACCCGAAACCGGGUGACCUAUCCAUGGCCAGGUUGAAGCGAGGGUAAAACCUCGUGGAGGACCGAACCACGUUGCUGUUGAAAAAGCAUGGGAUGAGCUGUGGAUAGCGGAGAAAUUCCAAUCGAACCCGGAGAUAGCUGGUUCUCUCCGAAAUAGCUUUAGGGCUAGCGUCGAGUAUGAGUAGUGGAGGUAGAGCACUGAAUGGGCUAGGGGGCAUAGCGCUUACCGAACCUUAUCAAACUCCGAAUGCCACAUACUUUGAGCUCGGCAGUCAGACUACGAAUGAUAAGAUCCGUGGUCAAAAGGGAAACAGCCCAGAUCGUCAGCUAAGGUCCCAAAGUGUAAGUUAAGUGGGAAAGGAUGUGAGAUUUCUAAGACAACUAGGAUGUUGGCUUAGAAGCAGCCAUUCAUUAAAAGAGUGCGUAAUAGCUCACUAGUCGAGAGAUCUUGCGCCGAAAAUGUAACGGGGCUAAACUUACCACCGAAGCUACGGGCUUGAACUUAGUUCAAGCGGUAGGAGAGCGUCGUAACCGGGCUGAAGUCGUACCGUAAGGAGCGGUGGACUGGUUACGAGUGAGAAUGUUGGCAUCAGUAGCGAGAUGUGGGUGAGAAUCCCACAGGCCGAAAACCUAAGGUUUCCUCAGGAAGGUUCGUCCGCUGAGGGUUAGUCGGGACCUAAGCCGAGGCCGAAAGGCGUAGGUGAUGGACAACUGGUUGAUAUUCCAGUACCACUACCAUCGUUAUUAUCGAUGGCGUGACGCAGGAGGAUAGUGUGUGCUAGCUAUUGGAUGCUAGUCUAAGCGUUUAGGCAGUGAGAGUAGGCAAAUCCGCUCUCAUAAUGCUGAGGCGUGAUGGGGAAGGUUCUACGGAACCGAAGUACAUGAUUCCACGCUGCCAAGAAAAGCGUCUAGAGAGAGAAGUAGUGCCCGUACCGCAAACCGACACAGGUAGGUGAGGAGAGAAUCCUAAGGCCGGCGGAAGAAUUACAGUUAAGGAACUCGGCAAAUUGACCCCGUAAGUUCGCGAGAAGGGGUGCCUACGAGAGUAGGCCGCAGAGAAUAGGCCCAAGCAACUGUUUAGCAAAAACACAGGUCUCUGCUAAAGCGUAAGCUGAUGUAUAGGGGCUGACGCCUGCCCGGUGCUGGAAGGUUAAGGGGAACACUUAGCGCAAGCGAAGGUGUGAACUUAAGCCCCAGUAAACGGCGGCCGUAACUAUAACGGUCCUAAGGUAGCGAAAUUCCUUGUCAGGUAAGUUCUGACCCGCACGAAUGGCGUAAUGACUUGGGCACUGUCUCAACUGUAAAUCCGGCGAAGUUGUAGUGCGAGUGAAGAUGCUCGCUACCCGCGAUUGGACGGAAAGACCCCGUAGAGCUUUACUGUAGCUUAGCAUUGAGUUUUGGUAUUGUCUGUACAGGAUAGGUGGGAGACUAGGAAACCAGGGCGUCAGCCUUGGUGGAGUCAACCUUGGGAUACCACCCUGACAGUACUGAAAUUCUAACUGGCGGCCAUGAAUCUGGUCACAGGACAUUGUUAGGUGGGCAGUUUGACUGGGGCGGUCGCCUCCUAAAAAGUAACGGAGGCGCCCAAAGGUUCCCUCAGAACGGUCGGAAAUCGUUCGAAGAGUGCAAAGGCAGAAGGGAGCCUGACUGCGACACCCACAAGUGGAGCAGGGACGAAAGUCGGGCUUAGUGAUCCGGUGGUACCUCGUGGGAGGGCCAUCGCUCAACGGAUAAAAGCUACCUCGGGGAUAACAGGCUGAUCUCCCCCAAGAGUCCACAUCGACGGGGAGGUUUGGCACCUCGAUGUCGGCUCGUCGCAUCCUGGGGCUGAAGUAGGUCCCAAGGGUUGGGCUGUUCGCCCAUUAAAGCGGCACGCGAGCUGGGUUCAGAACGUCGUGAGACAGUUCGGUCCCUAUCCGUCGCGGGCGUAGGAAAUUUGAGAGGAGCUGUCCUUAGUACGAGAGGACCGGGAUGGACUGACCUCUGGUGUACCAGUUGUUCCGCCAGGAGCA